UGGCUUGUAGCUGUUGGUUUCUGAUAACUAUGGGUCAGCGCUGACGUUAGCAACCUGAAGGCAAGGUGACGGGCCAUAUCUCCCUUUGGGCUUGCCAAGGCUCGUGGAUCCCAAGCCUUGCCCGAGCUGGAUGUUGCAGGCUGGAGUUGCUCCCGGGGCCUAGGGCCUCCUCCUGCCUGGGCUAGCCUCUUGCGCUGGAGAUGCUCUUAUCACCAGUUGGCUCUGGUUCAAAACUCUAUCCCUCUCUUUAAAAUACAAUAUCGUUGUAACUCAAAAAAGAGAUAUAAUACAUAAUGUGGUCUCACUGGCAUUACUCUUUACACAUAUAAUAAAAUGUUGCAAAUGUGG
rnacentral:lncRNA from 1 species